UCCAAGGAAGGCAGCAGGCGCGCAAAUUACCCCAAUCCCGACACGAGGAGGUAGUGACAAUAAAUAACAAUAUAGGGCUCUUUCGGGUCUUAUAAUUGGAAUGAGUACAAUUUAAAUCCCUUAACGAGGAACAAUUGGAGGGCAAGUCUGGUGCCAGCAGCCGCGGUAAUUCCAGCUCCAAUAGCGUAUAUUAAAGUUGUUGCAGUUAAAAAGCUCGUAGUUGAACUUCAGACCUGGCCGGGCGGUCUGCCUAACGGUAUGUACUGUCUGGCUGGGUCUUACUUCUUGGUGAGCCGGCAUGCCCUUCACUGGGUGUGUCGGGGAACCAGGACUUUUACCUUGAGAAAAUUAGAGUGUUCAAAGCAGGCCUAUGCCCGAAUACAUUAGCAUGGAAUAAUAAAAUAGGACGUGCGGUUCUAUUUUGUUGGUUUCUAGAGUCGCCGUAAUGAUUAAUAGGGAUAGUUGGGGGCAUUAGUAUUCAGUUGCUAGAGGUGAAAUUCUUGGAUUUACUGAAGACUAACUACUGCGAAAGCAUUUGCCAAGGAUGUUUUCAUUAAUCAAGAACGAAAGUUGGGGGCUCGAAGACGAUCAGAUACCGUCCUAGUCUCAACCAUAAACGAUGCCGACCAGGGAUCAGCGGAUGUUGCUUACAGGACUCCGCUGGCACCUUAUGAGAAAUCAAAGUUUUUGGGUUCCGGGGGGAGUAUGGUCGCAAGGCUGAAACUUAAAGGAAUUGACGGAAGGGCACCACCAGGAGUGGAGCCUGCGGCUUAAUUUGACUCAACACGGGGAAACUUACCAGGUCCAGACAUAGUAAGGAUUGACAGACUGAGAGCUCUUUCUUGAUUCUAUGGGUGGUGGUGCAUGGCCGUUCUUAGUUGGUGGAGCGAUUUGUCUGGUUAAUUCCGAUAACGAACGAGACC
rnacentral:rRNA from 1 species